rnacentral:rRNA from 1 species
GACGAACGCUGGCGGCGUGCUUAACACAUGCAAGUCGAACGGAAAGGCCCUUCGGGGUACUCGAGUGGCGAACGGGUGAGUAACACGCGGGUGGUCUGCCCUGCACUUUGGGAUAAGCCUGGGAAACUGGGUCUAAUACCGAAUAGGACCACGGGCUUCAUGGUGUGUGGUGGAAGUCUUUUGCGGUGUGGGAGGGGCCGGCGGCCUAUCAGCUGGUUGGUGGGGUAAUGGCCUACCAAGGCGACGACGGGUAGCCGGCCUGAGAGGGUGACCGGCCACACUGGGAAUGAGAUACGGCCCAGACUCCUACGGGAGGCAGCAGUGGGGAAUAUUGCACAAUGGGCGCAAGCCUGAUGCAGCGACGCCGCGUGAGGGAUGACGGCCUUCGGGUUGUAAACCUCUUUCAAUAGGGACGAAGCGCAAGUGACGGUACCUAUAGAAGAAGCACCGGCCAACUACGUGCCAGCAGCCGCCGUAA